rnacentral:rRNA from 1 species
GCAGCCAUCAUUUAAAGAAAGCGUAAUAGCUCACUGGUCGAGUCGGCCUGCGCGGAAGAUGUAACGGGGCUAAACCAUGCACCGAAGCUGCGGCAGCGACGCUUAUGCGUUGUUGGGUAGGGGAGCGUUCUGUAAGCCUGUGAAGGUGGCCUGUGAGGGUUGCUGGAGGUAUCAGAAGUGCGAAUGCUGACAUAAGUAACGAUAAAGCGGGUGAAAAGCCCGCUCGCCGGAAGACCAAGGGUUCCUGUCCAACGUUAAUCGGGGCAGGGUGAGUCGACCCCUAAGGCGAGGCCGAAAGGCGUAGUCGAUGGGAAACGGGUUAAUAUUCCCGUACUUGGUGUUACUGCGAAGGGGGGACGGAGAAGGCUAUGUUGGCCGGGCGACGGUUGUCCCGGUUUAAGCGUGUAGGUGUGUGUUCCAGGUAAAUCCGGUUCACUUUAACACUGAGGCGUGAUGACGAGGCACUACGGUGCUGAAGCAACAAAUGCCCUGCUUCCAGGAAAAGCCUCUAAGCAUCAGGUAACAUCAAAUCGUACCCCAAACCGACACAGGUG